rnacentral:tRNA from 1 species
GCCUGGCUGGCUCAGUCGGUAGAACGUGUGACUCUUGAUCUCAGGGUUAUGAGUUUGAACCCCAUGUUGGGUG